CAAGCUCAAUGCAAUGUAAUCUUUUAGAUACUUGUGAAGAUAGAUGUUUUUCCUGCGCUAUUUCAUUCUGAAUUUUUCUAGCAGUUACAACCUGUAUAAUGUCUGAUGCUUGGAUGCGCCUGUAUCAACAUUAUCAAUACUUGACUCAAUUCCUUGUGGGUUUAUGGUAUUCCAGAGAGUAGAUCAGACAAAUGUUCUUGGAGGUCUGUUUACAACUGAUGUGCUUUCUUUUGCAUAUGUAUUCCAACUGGAGGCCAGGAAAAGAUGUUUUUCGAAGGGAAGUUUUCUGUGAAAUUUAGUGCUUCAUCUGCUCCAGUUUUUUACAGAAGAGCAGAAUGCCCAGCAGUUGUCUGAUGAGAAUAUGCUGGGACUGAAUAAGCUCCAGCUGCCUGAUUGUUUUUAGCCUGAAUGAAAGGUGAGUUCUUUCAGCUAUCACGCAUCAGUCCACAUUUCAUAUAUGUACAUACAGAUUUAAU
rnacentral:lncRNA from 1 species